rnacentral:lncRNA from 1 species
AAAAAAGAAGAUGUGGUAUGAUUGCCAAUGAGACAACUAUCCACAGAAGACCAAAAUGACCCAAACAUUAACAACUAUAGGUCACCGUAAGGCCUUCAACAAUGAGCAACGCCCAUACCGCAUAGUCAGCCAUAAAAGGCCCCGAUAAGACAAUGUAAAACAAUUCAAACGAGAAAACUAACGGCCUUAUUUAUGUAAAAAAAUGAACGAAAAACAAAUAUGUAACACAUAAACAAACGACAACCACUGAAUUACAGGCUCCUGACUUGGGACAGGCACAUACAUAAAUAAUGUGGCGGGGUUAAACAUGUUAGCGGGAUCCCAACCCUCCCCAUAACCUUGGACAGUGGUAUAACAGUACAACAUAAGAACGAACUAUAAAAAUCAGUUGAAAAAGGCUUAACUCAUCAGAUGGACAAAAAUACAAGUGGACGUAAUGAUCUGAUUUACAAAAUAACUCAUGAUAAUUUUACUAUUAAAUCUUUAUACCAUCGAGCUUGCAUCGCUAAAUAUUUGCUACAAAAUUUGAAGUCAGAAAGUAAAGAGCUAUUUUAUUCUGAACAUAAAACAGCUUUUACUAACAUUUCGACGAUUAAAGAUGACGUGCCUGUACACAAGGAAGUAUUCUGGUUAACAACUUUAAUUACUUGAUCAGUUAACCGGGCUUAAUUUAUGCCCGAGGAUCGCCGCCGAGAAAACUACAUAACAUAUUAUCAGCUUCAACAAAUACUAAAAAUAUAUGGUCAAUUUAUAGUUACAAUGUACAUGUAUACAGCCUCAACAAGGCCAAGGUACAUCCAAUAUUGUAUACAGUAGCUCUAUACUUUUGUCUUAUUCUUUUUAACUCUUUUUCAUUUAGAUUUAUCAUUACAAAUGCACCGUAUUUAUGGACACACCUUUGAUAACUAUUAACAAGUUUGACUGAUCAACAGAUUAGAAAAAUUGAAAAUGGGGCAUACAUUCUACAUGGCAUUAUUUUUCUUCUGGGGGUCAAAAUUUUAUCCAAGACAAUGUCGACCUAACUACAGAAACAAUAAAAGUUCUCCGUAUGACUUUGGUUGGCUAAAAGGCAACAUCGGUCCGGUAUGAUGUCAUCCAACUUUCUACAAGAUUUGAUCUGUUCACGC